UCUGCUGGUCCUACGGCAGCCAUUUCAAAA
rnacentral:piRNA from 1 species